rnacentral:rRNA from 1 species
UACGGAGGGUGCAAGCGUUAUCCGGAUUCACUGGGUUUAAAGGGUGCGUAGGCGGGCAUUUAAGUCAGUGGUGAAAUCCCGGAGCUCAACUCCGGAACUGCCAUUGAUACUAUCUGCCUUGAAUAUUGUGGAGGUUUGCGGAAUAUGUCAUGUAGCGGUGAAAUGCUUAGAUAUGACAUAGAACACCGAUUGCGAAGGCAGCAGGCUACACACAUAUUGACGCUGAGGCACGAAAGCGUGGGGAUCAAACAGG